AAUUUAGAAAAUUAAUUGAUUCUCACAAAAGAUUUUUUAACACAGGCAACAUAUGAUGGUUUAAAGACAACAUAGUCUACUUUAUAUUUAGUCAACUAUCUAUUGGAUAAAAGUAAUUUUAAUUAUGCCUUUACGGUUAAAGCCAUAUCCUGCUUUUGGAUGAAGUCUUUUUAUGGGAAAGUCUUAAAGUUGUAAAACCCUUAUUCUGGCCUUGAGGACUUUGGAGAUAAAAUAAAAUAAAAUCAAAAAGCUAAUCGCGGAUUGGUUUUUAUGUGGCAAAGCUUAGCUGAUAAUCGGAUAUUGUAAUAGAACUAACAGCAGUCCUUACAACUCAUGGGCCUGUAAAAGGUAUUUAUUUUCAAUACACAUUGAAUAUACAAUUUUAAAAUGAAUACACAAAUCUUUUUUGCAGGAGUUUUUAUUGCAAAACUGUUAAUAAAAGCAAUUACGUUAAUUUAAAACUCAGGUGGACAUAUUGUAUUGUUGGUAUCACAAGAGAUGGUGCAUAAACAAAUAUAAACAAACAUACAAUAUUAAACUACAAAUUAUAUUGUAACUCAUAUUGCUGUCAGCUAAAAAUUAUUUUCAAAUCCGUUCAACAGUUCUAAAAAGGUUUAGGUACCUAUGUGUUUUCGCAUGUUCCACAUCUUCUAAAAACUGUUAGAAAUAUAUUAUUUAGUAACAAAAUGUGAAAUUAUAGUAACCAAAUUUCGAAAUAAAAUACUUUGUAAAUAUUUUUAAUAUAAAUACAAAUAUUUAUUUUAGAUAAUCCUAUCAUUACCUCAAAUUAAAUAGGAACAUUAUUUUAGUAUUUUCAUAAUAGAUUAGAGAUGGGAAAUAAUAUAAGAUAAAUUUGAUAUUUAAUCAACUAUAAACUAAUUAUGUAUAUAAAUUGCUAUUGAUAUUUUCUUAAAAUUAAUUGUUUAUUUUUGAAAGAAGUUUUUGGAAUUCUUAGACAAGUAUUGGACCAAAUGAUCACCCUACUGCUGCAAAUCCUUUUUUACAGCUGUAUUAUAUACUAUGUGCAUACUCAACAAUCAAACCUCCAAAGUCUGGGAAUCAUAGUAUACCUACUUGAAAGUUCAAAAAUAAUGUUGUACUUAAUAUAACACAGUUAUGUGUCGAUUUCGGAGUGUCAUAACUAAAAAACUAACUUUGAGCCCCAAAUUCUGACUUCACUAUCGUUUAAGGUACCUAUACCAAACUACAUAAUUUUUUCAAAAAAAUCGCAAAACAAAAAGGGUGUCUGGUAAUGUAUAAAUUAUAUACCUGAGCACUGUUUUAAAUAUUGGUGUUGAUAGGUAAUUUAGCUACUAUAGUACUAACAAUUUAAGGAAGUUCUAUGGGCGCAUUUAAUAUAUUCCUUCAGGAACAAAGGGAAUUUCCUAGGCUGAGCCAUUCUGAGUCAUAGGAUUUAAAUGGGACGGUCACGGGCUGUUAAUUGUAAUUACAAAUGUCUGCUUUCCAAGGACUUCCUAAAAUUACUUGAAUAGGAACUAAACCAUUAUUGUGCCAGUAGGCCUCCAGAAUAGGUCAAAAAACGUCUAUUGUUAUAAUUUAACAGCUAUAGUUCAUUUAAUUAUUUAUAAUAACUAAUUUUAAUUAGUACCUAUACAUAGGUACCUAAAUAAAAUAUCAAUUUUUUAGCUAUGCACACAAUUUUUCCAGUCUGUAUUCAUGUAUAAUUUAUGUUAUUAUGUAUAAUAUUAUGUACAUGAUACUUAUAUAGCCUGUUCCAAAAGAGAAGACACCAGUCUGUAGAUUUACGUAAGAAAACCCAUGGCCGCCCGUUGUAUUCUCUUUUGGAAAAAUGGUAUAACUGUAUAUGUUAUAAUAGUAAUAUAUUUCUAUUAAUAGACUGUUACUUAAAUAUUAAUUAGCCAUGCAGGCUGAAAUACCAGAAUCUAUAAUUUUUUUUAUUACUUUAUCAAUUAAAAUUUUUUUAUUACAUUAUUAUCUGUGGUAAAUAAACUCAGUUUCUCAAAUUUCCGCACUUAAAAUUUAAAUGAUUAUAAAAUUAUAUAAUUAGGUUACAUAUUAUAUAUUACAUAACCGUAAUGAUAAUAAUUUAUCACUUUCAUUUCAAUAUUGCAGUGCCCAUUCAACGACGAGGUAUCUAAACUCGAAAUUACCUAAAUAUAUUGUAUAUUACUUAUAUACAUGCAGCAGAUUGACUUCACCGGUUUUUAUGUGCAUCAAGUCGUCAGCCGUUUGUAAACUGUAUAAUAUGCUUUCAAAUAAAUGGUUUAGUAUGAUGAUAAUAUAACAGAGAAAUAUAAACGAGUAUAUGAAAUUUUAAAAGUA